GAAUGAGGAGGAAUGUCUUCA
rnacentral:siRNA from 1 species